rnacentral:rRNA from 1 species
UACGGAGGGAGCUAGCGUUGUUCGGAAUUACUGGGCGUAAAGCGCGCGUAGGCGGCUUUGUAAGUCAGAGGUGAAAUCCCGGAGCUCAACUCCGGAACUGCCUUUGAGACUGCAUCGCUUGAAUCCGGGAGAGGUGAGUGGAAUUCCGAGUGUAGAGGUGAAAUUCGUAGAUAUUCGGAAGAACACCAGUGGCGAAGGCGGCUCACUGGACCGGUAUUGACGCUGAUGUGCGAAAGCGUGGGGAGCAAACAGG